rnacentral:lncRNA from 1 species
GUCACUCCAAGGCAGACCUCAUGAAAGGGAGCCACUUGGCCACCCUGGAGUCGGAGCAUGGGCAGGGGUCAGCUCAGGGUGGGCAGAGGCAGAAGGGUGAAUGCAGCAAACCUGGCUCUCAGCAGCUCGGAGCUAGAAGGGCCCCAUGGCUGAUCUCAGAUGGACGGGAUGGCCAGGCCUUUGCUUAGGUCACAUCUGUCACUGGAUGGGGUUGACCAGGAACCCAUGAUCUCAGGCCAGGCCAGCCUCUGCAGUUUGAGACCAACUCUGAGGGGCCACAGCCAGGGCUGUGGGCAGGAGGGUGAGCCCUGGAGGAUGGAGACGCCCAGUACCUCAGGCAGGCACUGCCACGGACCUGUGUCCCUUCACUGCCCCGGGUUGUCCCAGGGCCUCACACUCAGCAUCCUGUGACAGAGCUCAGCACCUUCCCCAGACACCUUCCGCCUCCUGUGCCCAGCCUGCCCUGUCCUCGUCCCAUUUCCACACUCUGCCUGGGGCCAGCCAUGGUGCCUAGCAGCCUCUUGUGGGAUUCCUGCUACCCACAUAGCCCCAGCCUCCACUGUGUGUCCAGAGUGACCCCAACACUGUCCUGUGGUCACCUCUACCCUCCACCCCCUGCCCGCGGCUGCCCACGUGGCCUGUACCCUAGACAGUGUGUCCAGCCUCACCACCCGCCCAAGGCCAUGCCCCGUGGAGCCGUGGGUCUUAGGCAGGUCUCCGGGCCUGGGACCCCGCAGGACUCCAGUGCACGUGGGACCAGGGGAGUGAGCACACAGGAGAGCCAGGGCUGGGGGCAUCGGGAAGGAGCUUAGAAAACGGCCUUCAACUCUUAGAAGCAGGAAAAGCCCCACCGCCUUCAGGAUGGAGUAAGAACCACUGGGGACACUCCCAAGAAAGGCACUCCUGCUACCCGAGGCUCCCAGAACCCUGAAGGACCUUAUCCAUCUCCCAGGGCCACAGUCGUCUGCCUUCCUGGUGUCUCAGCGGACACCUGCAGCCCUGGCUGCCCAGCAGAGCUCUGUGUUGGAACGUACGUGUGGGUAACUCCCACUGCCUUCCAGUGCCUUCCCAAGGGCUCCACAGCCCAUCAGGUGGUCACGAGGAUGGGUCAUGGGGGCCAGUCCCGGGGCCUCAGCAAGUUUCUCUGCAGAGCCUGCCAGGCCCCUAGCCACGUGCUCCCCUCCCCCUCCCACCAGCUCCCUGGGCUGUCCACCUCCUUCCUGGGCACCGCUUUCCAUCCCCCACACAUCUGCCACGGCCCCGUCCCUCCACCUGCUCAGCCUCCCCUCUCCCUCUCAAGGGAAAAACUCCUUGGCACCCACCCACCUCCAGACCCUGCCACCACCCCUGCCAGACACAUCUGCCUGGUGGUCCCCAAGUGCUCUCAGCCUGCUUCAGUCUGGG